AUUGAACGCUGGCGGCAUGCUUUACACAUGCAAGUCGAACGGGCCGGGGGCAACUCCGGUCAGUGGCGAACGGGUGAGUAAUGCAUCGGAACGUGCCUCGUAGUGGGGGAUAACGCCGCGAAAGCGGCGCUAAUACCGCAUAUGCUCUGAGGAGGAAAGCGGGGGCUCGCAAGACCUCGCGCUAUGAGAGCGGCCGAUGUCCGAUUAACUUGUUGGUGGGGUAAUGGCCUACCAAGGCGACGAUCGGUAGCUGGUCUGAGAGGAUGACCAGCCACACUGGGACUGAGACAAGGCCCAGACUCAUACGGGAGGCAGCGGUGGGGAAUUUUGGACAAUGGGAUCAACCCUGAUCCAGCCAUACCGCGUGCGGGAAGAAGGCCUUCGGGUUGUAAACCGAUUUUAGCCGGGAAGAAAAGGCCAGCCCGAAUACGGUUGGUUCUUGACGGUACCGGCGGCAUAAGCACCGGCAAACUCUGUGCCAGCCGCCGCGGUAAGAC
rnacentral:rRNA from 1 species